AUUGAACGCUGGCGGCAGGCCUAACACAUGCAAGUCGAGCGGAUGAAGAGAGCUUGCUCUCUGAUUCAGCGGCGGACGGGUGAGUAAUGCCUAGGAAUCUGCCUGGUAGUGGGGGACAACGUUUCGAAAGGAACGCUAAUACCGCAUACGUCCUACGGGAGAAAGUGGGGGAUCUUCGGACCUCACGCUAUCAGAUGAGCCUAGGUACGAUUAGCUAGUUGGUGAGGUAAAGGCUCACCAAGGCGACGAUCGUUAACUGGUCUGAGAGGAUGAUCAGUCACACUGGAACUGAGACACGGUCCAGACACCUACGGGAGGCAGCAGUGGGGAAUAUUGGACAAUGGGCGAAAGCCUGAUCCAGCCAUGCCGCGUGUGUGAAGAAGGUCUUCGGAUUGUAAAGCACUUUAAGUUGGGAGGAAGGGCAGUAAGUUAAUACCAUGCUGUUUUGACGUUACCGACAGAAUAAGCACCGGCUAACUUCGUGCCAGCAGCCGCAGUAAGAC
rnacentral:rRNA from 1 species